GGGCUCACACAAGCGGUGGAGGAUGUGGCUUAAUUCGAGGCUACGCGAAGAACCUUAUCCUAGAUUUGACAUGCUUGAGAAUCCCUAUGAAAAUAGAGAGUGCCCUUCGGGAGCUCUUGCACAGGUGCUGCAUGGCUGUCGUCAGCUCGUGUCGUGAGAUGUCGGGUUAAGUCCCUUAACGAGCGAAACCCUUAUCUCUAGUUGCCAGCGGGUAAUGCCGGGGACUCUAGAGAGACUGCCGGUGUCAAACCGGAGGAAGGUGGGGAUGACGUCAAGUCCUCAUGGCCUUUAUGUCUAGGGCUGCACACGUCCUACAAUGGUACGGACAAACGGACGCAAUACCGCGAGGUGGAGCA
rnacentral:rRNA from 1 species